rnacentral:rRNA from 1 species
UACGUAGGGUGCAGGCGUUAAUCGGAAUUACUGGGCGUAAAGCGUGCGCAGGCGGUUUCUUAAGUUAGAUGUGAAAGCCCCGGGCUUAACCUGGGAACUGCGUUUGAAACUGGGAGACUUGAGUGUGGCAGAGGGGGGUGGAAUUCCACGUGUAGCAGUGAAAUGCGUAGAUAUGUGGAGGAACACCGAUGGCGAAGGCAGCCCCCUGGGUUAACACUGACGCUCAUGCACGAAAGCGUGGGGAGCAAACAGG